UGAGUUGCCGGAGGUUUUCUCAUUCCUCGUUGAACCGCUUUCUGGGAAGAAGACAAGGAACGUUCUGGUUUCCAAAAAGUCUAAGAAACCGUGAUUUCAUGUCGGCCCGACGCGACCCUUGCAAACGUUCUCGUCUUUUCCUGUUAACGCACUCUUCUCUUCACCGUCUAAGGCCGCAACUUUGUCCGUUGCUGGAUGUCCCGCGGGGCAGACACCACCCUCGAAGUCGUGUGCGUCAACCAGUCUGGUGGAGCCAAGCCUGCUGCGCACCUGCUCAAGUAUGACUCCAUCCUCGGCACGUUCGAUGCCGAUGUCAAGGUAGUCGAUGAUGCGACGAUCACUGUGAAUGGCAAACCGAUCAAGGUGGUGUCUGACCGUGAUCCACUCAACCUCCCCUGGAAGGAGAUGGGUAUUGACAUAGUCAUCGAGGGAACUGGUGUUUUCCUCGAUGGACCUGGCGCAGGCAAGCACAUCCAGGCUGGUGCCAAGAAAGUCGUCAUCACCGCUCCUGCGAAGGGAAACGACAUUCCGACUUACGUCGUCGGUGUCAACGCUGAUCAGUACGACCCUUCUGCCAACAUCGUCUCGAAUGCGUCAUGCACAA
rnacentral:lncRNA from 1 species